GCUUACCUCUUCAAUAGUUUGCGAAGGCUCUUUGUCUUUGUGAAUUGAUGGUUUCCUGUGUUGCCUACCUAAUCAAAGGUAUUUUGCUGGUUAAUUGUUGUCCCUUUUUAUCUAGUGUCUAUCCUAUGACACUUGGUAAACCAUGAAGUGGUUUCUUUGAUCCUCAUCGUCAAUGAAAUAUUUGAUUUUGUGGCUCAUUGACCAUCGCUUGGUCUCUUGGAUACAAAACAUGAUGUUUGCAUAUUGGUUCUCAUGGAUUUUGUGGCUCAUUGAGCGAUCUCAUGUUAUCCUUUURUUGCUCUCAUUUAGUUUUCGCGCAUCUCUACAUGGUGUUAGCAUGUUGGUUUUCAUGGAUUUUGKGGCUCAUUGAGCGAUCUAUGUUACCCUUUCAUUGCUCUCAUUUAGUGCUCGCGCAUCUCUUGAAAUGAUUGCUUCCCUUGCCUAGGUGCAUGGGAGGCAUGUCAAAGAGGAAUGC
rnacentral:misc_RNA from 1 species